UAACACGUGGGUAACCUGCCUUAUAGUGGGGGAUAGCCUUUCGAAAGGAAGAUUAAUACCGCAUAAGAUUGUAGUAUCGCAUGAUAUAGCAAUUAAAGGAGCAAUUCGCUAUAAGAUGGACCCGCGUCGCAUUAGCUAGUUGGUGAGGUAAUGGCUCACCAAGGCGACGAUGCGUAGCCGACCUGAGAGGGGGAUCGGCCACAUUGGGACUGAGACACGGCCCAGACUCCUACGGGAGGCAGCAUG
rnacentral:rRNA from 1 species